rnacentral:tRNA from 1 species
AUUCAUAUAGUUUAAUAAAACAUUACAUUUUCAUUGUAAAAUUAGAAAAAAAUUUCUUAUGAAUA